GCAGUCGAGCGAGCUGAACCAACAGAUUCACUUCGGUGAUGACGUUGGGAACGCGAGCGGCGGAUGGGUGAGUAACACGUGGGGAACCUGCCCCAUAGUCUGGGAUACCACUUGGAAACAGGUGCUAAUACCGGAUAAGAAAGCAGAUCGCAUGAUCAGCUUAUAAAAGGCGGCGUAAGCUGUCGCUAUGGGAUGGCCCCGCGGUGCAUUAGCUAGUUGGUAGGGUAACGGCCUACCAAGGCAAUGAUGCAUAGCCGAGUUGAGAGACUGAUCGGCCACAUUGGGACUGAGACACGGCCCAAACUCCUACGGGAGGCAGCAGUAGGGAAUCUUCCACAAUGGACGAAAGUCUGAUGGAGCAACGCCGCGUGAGUGAAGAAGGUUUUCGGAUCGUAAAGCUCUGUUGUUGGUGAAGAAGGAUAGAGGUAGUAACUGGCCUUUAUUUGACGGUAAUCAACCAGAAAGUCACGGCUAACUACGUGCCAGCAGCCGCGGUAAUACGUAGGUGGCAAGCGUUGUCCGGAUUUAUUGGGCGUAAAGCGAGCGCAGGCGGAAGAAUAAGUCUGAUGUGAAAGCCCUCGGCUUAACCGAGGAACUGCAUCGGAAACUGUUUUUCUUGAGUGCAGAAGAGGAGAGUGGAACUCCAUGUGUAGCGGUGGAAUGCGUAGAUAUAUG
rnacentral:rRNA from 1 species